rnacentral:rRNA from 1 species
GACAGAGGGUGCAAACGUUGUCCGGAGUUACUGGGCGUAAAGCGCACGCAGGCGGUCUGCUAAGUUUGGAGUGACAGUUGGGGGCUCAACUCCCAAAGUGCUUUGAAAACUGACAGACUUGAGGGCUUCAGAGGGACACGGAAUUCCGGGUGGAGUGGUGGAAUGCGUAGAGAUCGGGAAGAACAUCGGUGGCGAAGGCGGCCAGCUGGGCCGUUGCUGACGCUGAGGCGCGACAGCGUGGGGAGCAAACAGG